GCAAUAUUGUUUAUCUUUUCCCUGUUAGACAGUGCCUUUGGUUUGCAUCCAUCAAUGUUCUUUGUAAUUAACUCACUAACUGCACUUGUUUCCUGACUCCCUGCGUCUACAUUACAGAAUCUUGCCUCUCAAAAUGGAAGCAGCAGCCAACCGAGACAUCUCCCAGAUGGUCGACGAACAGGGAGACCUACUUCGCCGGCAGCACAAUCAGCUAGCGCAACUAGGGAGGCAUCACCCCCAACGAGCGGAGGAUCCUCUACCAUGAGUCGACCCAGCGAGCCAACCCAUUCAGCAGUCUGCUCUGGGCAUGCGUUUGGAUCGAAUACGGCCAUCUGGGAGAGGGGAGAAGCUGUGUUCUUAUGGGAGGUUCAUGGUGCUGUUCAGAGGAGGCUUCGAUUAUCCACCGGAGGGCAGAGAGGGGGGAUGAGCACCUACUCCAACUACGGCAGGAGGACCAGACUGUUGCGGAGUUCGCACUCCCCUUUCGUACAUUGGCAGCAUCCAGCAGAUGGAAUGAGCCGUCGCUCCACACCUUAUUCCGAAGAGGUUUUGCGUGAGGAGGUCCAGACAAAGCUGGCAUGCCGAGACAACACCCUCUCAUUGGAUGCACUCAUCACGAUGACCAUCCGUCUGGAUAACCUACUUCGGGAGCAUUGGCACUCCAUCGCCUCUCUCCCUCUUUCGUUGACGGAUAUGAGUUUAAGCCUGACCCCUUGGAGGUAGGGGCUACACGCCUCCCCGCGGCUGAGUGAUGCCGCCGGAAGCAACAAAGCCAGUUCUGCUUACAAAUAAUGACAGUCUUGGGGUCUCGUUUUAUAAUGUCCUUAGACACAAUUGUGUGAUCCAAUCUGUGGUUUGGUUCAUAACCAUUGAACUUGAAAAUGUGAUUUAUUGUUUAAAAAAAAAUGCAUUUAGACAUUUUUGUAACUGAAAUGUUGUAUAAAAACGGUGUACAUUUUAUAAAUCAAGACACUAUGACCUUGUACAACUACGACAAUAAAAUGGCCCUGCUGAUGAUGAUGUUGUCA